rnacentral:tmRNA from 1 species
GGGGGCGUGUUUUGGAAUUCGACGGGGGCAGUCGGAUUCCAAAUAGCGGGUAGUGGUUUUCUCGGAACCACUAUAAAAAACCGAGAAGAAAAAUAACUGCAGACAAAGCAGAACUCGCUUUAGCUGCGUAAAUAAGCAGCUAACGUCCGCCGGAGGUACCCACGGCCUCCGAGCCGGGCGCCAACCCACGUGGGGCACCGAAAGUAAGGUCGCCUGAGCCUUACUUUUGGGACCAAUCUCAGGCUGGGGAAGAAAAAGCCUGUCAGUGGGCGUUUUCUUCCCGAGAGCUUAAGUACACUGACUGCACCCGGAGAAGUUUGGGGUUCGAUGCCUUCGGACGGGGGUUCAAAUCCCCCCGCCUCCACCA